rnacentral:tRNA from 1 species
AGCCUUGUAUUCAUGAUAUGUGAUGUUAGAAUGCAAUUCUAGAGGGGUGGUUAGUCGGUCACUAAGGCUU